rnacentral:lncRNA from 1 species
CUGGGGACAUGGUGCCCUAUGGGGUCCUUAGGGAUGUGGUGCCCUAUGGGGACAUUAGGGACACAGUGCCCUAUGGGGUCCUUGGGGACAUGGUGCCCUAUGGGGACAUUGGGGACACGAUGCCCUAUGGGGACACUGGGGACAUGAUGCCCUAUGGGGACAUUGGGGAUAUGGUGCCCUAUGGGAUCCUUGGGGGACGUGGUUCCCUAUGGGGACAUUGGGGACACGAUGCCCUAUGGGGAAGUUGGGGACAUGGUGCCCUGUGGGGUCCUUGGGGAUGCGGUGACCUAUGGGGAUUUUGGGGACAUGAUGCCCUAUGGGGACACAGGGGGAUGUGGUGCCCUAUGGGGUCCUUGGGGUUGUGGUGCCCUAUGGGGUCCUUGGGGACACGAUGCCCUAUGGGGACAUUGGGGGAUGUGGUGCCCUAUGGGGAUUUUGGGGACACGAUGCCCUAUGGGGUCCUUGGGGACACGAUGCCCUAUGGGGACACUGGGAACACGGUGCCCUAUGGGGUCCUUGGGGAUGUGGUGACCUAUGGGGAUUUUGGGGACCCCCCCGACCCCCCUGUGGGGACGCCCUCCUUCUGCAGCUGAGCCGCCCCUCUUUUGCCCCCCCCCCAUUUUGGGGCACUCUUCC